rnacentral:miRNA from 1 species
UAAGUUGACGUAGUCCCAGGGU